UCAGCAUCUGAAAUGAAGUAGGACCACCCGCUGAACUUAAGCAUAUCAUUAAGCGGAGGAAAAGAAACUAACAAGGAUUCCCUUAGUACGGGCGACGGAAGCGGGAAAAGCCCACACUGGUAAUCUCCGGGCGCCAGCUCGGCGAAUUGUAAUCUGAAGAUAGCUAGUCUACCUGGACCGGACGCCUAAGUGUGCACGAGCGCGCCGCCAAAGAGGGUGAGAGCCCCGUACGGUGUCGGGUCCUACCAUGAC
rnacentral:rRNA from 1 species